rnacentral:rRNA from 1 species
CUGUGAGCGUGCGGGCGAUACGGGCAGACUUGAGUACUGCAGGGGAGACUGGAAUUCCUGGUGUAGCGGUGGAAUGCGCAGAUAUCAGGAGGAACACCGGUGGCGAAGGCGGGUCUCUGGGCAGUAACUGACGCUGAGGAGCGAAAGCGUGGGGAGCGAACAGGAUUAGAUACCCUGGUAGUCCGCGCCGUAAACGGUGGGUACUAGGUGUGGGUUUCCUUCCUUGGGAUCCGUGCCGUAGCUAACGCAUUAAGUACCCCGCCUGGGGAGUACGGCCGCAAGGCUAAAACUCAAAGAAAUUGACGGGGGCCCGCACAAGCGGCGGAGCAUGUGGAUUAAUUCGAUGCAACGCGAAGAACCUUACCUGGGUUUGACAUGCACAGGACGCCGGCAGAGAUGUCGGUUCCCUUGUGGCCUGUGUGCAGGUGGUGCAUGGCUGUCGUCAGCUCGUGUCGUGAGAUGUUGGGUUAAGUCCCUGCAACGAGCGCAACCCUUGUCUCAUGUUG